AGCUUUCUGAAUACAUGCAAAGAUUUUGUCAGACACCAACCCAAUAGGGUUGAUCAGACUUUGAAUAUAGGUGAAGUU
rfam:Schistosoma rodhaini strain Burundi genome assembly, scaffold: SROB_scaffold0010234